GCCUGCCUUGCGGCUGGGGCGGGAAGGGGGUGGUCACAUUCUGGGAAGUGAGAAUGUCAAGUAGCCCCAAGGCAGCCUGGCCAGGAGCUGCUGCUGGUCUCCACUGCACCGGCUUUUAUUUCAUUUCACAACCACAGGCAUGUGAACUUUUACACACUUAGAUGGAGUCUCAUUCACGAGGAAAACCUGAGGAAAACAAAUGGGAGACGGGCUUUGGAAACUAGUGUUCAACACACGCACACAAUUGUUGCCCAGCCCACUCACUUCAUUGUCUUUACGUUGAGGUAAUAGUAACGUAACAGUCGUAAAAGAAACGCCUGACCGGCAUUUCUUUCUCUCUGGUCCUGACAAGAAAAUUAAAAAAAACUUUUCAGAGGUUCUCUUCUGCACUGUUCAACCAGUUCAGUAAAUGUGGAGGAGGAGUUCAGAUGGAGGGUCGUCUUGGUAACGUCCAAAAGGGGAAGUAUCGUCACAGGCUCUCCAUUUCUCCAGAAAACUCGAUGCAGCUGGUUGUCUUCUAACCCUGCAGAGGGUGAGGUAAUAAAUAGGAACAAACACCCCCACAGCCUCUUUAAGAUCUGGCUGUGCUUGUGCUAUCUUUAGAUCUGCUUGAAAGAGGCAUGUCUCCUAUGGCCUGGGUUGGCCUGGGUUGGCCUGGGUCGGUGUGGAGUCUCCUAUGGCCUGGGUUGGUGUGGCGUCACCUAUGGCCUGGGUUGACCUGGGUCGGUGUGGAGUCUCCUAUGGCCUGGGUUGGUGUGGCGUCACCUAUGGCCUGGGUUGGCCUGGGUCGGUGUGGAGUCUCCUAUGGCCUGGGUUGGUGUGGCGUCACCUAUGGCCUGGGUUGACCUGGGUCUGUGUGGAGUCUCCUAUGGCCUGGGUUGGCCUGGGUCGGUGUGGAGUCUCCUAUGGCCUGGGUUGGUGUGGCGUCACCUAUGGCCUGGGUUGGCCUGGGUCGGUGUGGAGUCUCCUAUGGCCUGGGUUGGUGUGGCGUCACCUAUGGCCUGGGUUGACCUGGGUCUGUGUGGAGUCUCCUAUGGCCUGGGUUGGCCUGGGUCGGUGUGGAGUCUCCUAUGGCCUGGGUUGGUGUGGCGUCACCUAUGGCCUAGGUCAGUGUGGCGUCUCCUAUAACCUGGGUUGGCCUGGGUCGGUGUGGCGUCUCCUAUAACCUGGGUUGGCCUGGGUUGGUGUGGCGUCACCUAUGGCCUAGGUCAGUGUGGCGUCUCCUAUAACCUGGGUUGGCCUGGGUCGGUGUGGCGUCUCCUAUGUCCUGGGUUGGUGUGGCGUCUCCUAUGGCCUGGGUUGGUGUGGCGUCUCCUAUGGCCUGGGUUGGUGUGGCGUCUCCUAUGGCCUGGGUUGGUAUAGGUUGGUGUGGUGUCUCCUAUGGCCUGGGUUGGUAUAGGUUGGUGUGGUGUCUCCUAUGGCCUGGGUUGGUAUGGGUUGGUGUGGUGUCUCCUAUGGCCUAGGUUGGUAUAGGUUGGUGUGGCGUCUCCUAUGGCCUUGGUCGGUGUGGCGUCUCCUAUGGCCUGGGUUGGUAUGGGUCGGUGUGGCGUCUCCUAUGGCCUAGGUUGGUAUGGGUCGGUGUGGCGUCUCCUAUGGCCUGGGUUGGUAUGGGUCGGUGUGGCGUCUCCUAUGGCCUGGGUUGGUAUGGGUCGGUGUGGCGUCUCCUAUGGCCUGGGUUGGUAUGGGUCGGUGUGGCGUCUCCUAUGGCCUGGGUUGGUAUGGGUCGGUGUGGCCUCUCCUAUGGUAUGGGUUAGUGUGGCGUCUCCUAUGGCCUAGGUUGGUAUGGGUCGGUGUGGCGUCUCCUAUGGCCUGGGUUGGUAUGGGUCGGUGUGGCGUCAGCUAUUUGGACAUGUUUUUUAAUAUUACUAUGGGACGAGCAUGGUGACUUUUAAGACUGGCUAAUGAUAUUGACAUUGAAUGGCGCGACUGAACAGGUCAUAGGCCCGUGUUUUGUAUGAACCUGUAGGUUGAAUGUUCACUCGUGUCGGUGUGUGAGUUGAAUUUCAGUUGAGGGUACACGCUAAGUUGGUACAAUGGCAUACUAAGGCAGGACCUCUUGUUUUGACUGGGCUUAUCAUUUCAGUGUGAUUUUCUCGUGUCUGUAUGACUGGUCUCUGCUAGCGGCCACUGAAGUCAGAGGAAUGUCACCCACCAACUGUUUCAACACUCCUCCCUAUACCACAUAUCUUUAGAUUUUUUUUUUGACCAAAUACGGAAACAAACAAAUAAAUAUAGCACAAUUUUAGCCACUUAACAUUCCCGCUACAGAAUAAAGUUACCCUGCUCUCACAUAUAGGACACUUAACGUUCAGAUGUAUGGGAUUACCUUGAUACCCAUAGGAGGGGAAACCCCCUUCCCCAGGUGCCCUGUGGUUGCCUGCCUAGUAGGCUAGCUCCCCUGGAUAUAGAAAAGCACAGUGCGUGUGCCAGGCUGGAGACAGACCGCUUUGCCUAUAGAAAUAGAAUAACUAGAAUGGAAAGGGCAUCCCCAUUCAAGUCAAUGUUUUGGGAUGGGUGGGCUGGCGGCCAUAUUUAGUGUACCCAUGCCAGGAAGUAAUUACAUUUCUAUAGUUAGGCCUAUGCCCUCGCCACAGCCUUAACCCAGACCAGUUCACAGCUAGUGCAGUUGCCAUUCACAAAGAGCGUUGACCAACUGGCUGGCUGGCUGUCACAAGGCUAUAAUAGCUUGGGGGUCUCCAACGUUAUUUUUGUCAAUAUGCAUGGGCUGGGGAGGGAAUUGUUGUUGAAGCUUUUUCAGGCACCUUUUGGGGGUUGCAUGGCAUUGUAACUCAACCUAACCCCACUCUGGCUUUUCCAGUGAAUAGGUUAGGCUUUAUUGUACAGGCCUUUUUUUCUCCUGUCGCUCAGCUGAAAAAACAGCCUGCUGUUUGAUCCCUGAUUGUCUACU